GAUGAACGCUGGCGGCGUGCCUAAUACAUGCAAGUCGAGCGAACAGACGAGGAGCUUGCUCCUCUGACGUUAGCGGCGGACGGGUGAGUAACACGUGGAUAACCUACCUAUAAGACUGGGAUAACUUCGGGAAACCGGAGCUAAUACCGGAUAAUAUAUUGAACCGCAUGGUUCAAUAGUGAAAGACGGUUUUGCUGUCACUUAUAGAUGGAUCCGCGCCGCAUUAGCUAGUUGGUAAGGUAACGGCUUACCAAGGCAACGAUGCGUAGCCGACCUGAGAGGGUGAUCGGCCACACUGGAACUGAGACACGGUUCAGACUCCUACGGGAGGCAGCAGUAGGGAAUCUUCCGCAAUGGGCGCAAGCCUGACGGAGCCACGCCGCGUGAGUGAUGAAGGUCUUCGGAUCGUAAAGCUCUUUUAUUAGGGAAGAACAAAUGUGUAAGUAACUAUGCCCGUCUUGACGGUACCUAAUCAGAAAGCCACGGCUAACUACGUG
rnacentral:rRNA from 1 species